rnacentral:rRNA from 1 species
GACGAACGCUGGCGGCGUGCCUAAUACAUGCAAGUAGAACGCUGAAGGAGGAGCUUGCUUCUCUGGAUGAGUUGCGAACGGGUGAGUAACGCGUAGGUAACCUGCCUGGUAGCGGGGGAUAACUAUUGGAAACGAUAGCUAAUACCGCAUAAUAUUGACUAUUGCAUGAUAGUCAGUUGAAAGGUGCAACUGCACCACUACCAGAUGGACCUGCGUUGUAUUAGCUAGUUGGUGGGGUAACGGCUCACCAAGGCGACGAUACAUAGCCGACCUGAGAGGGUGAUCGGCCACACUGGGACUGAGACACGGCCCAGACGCCUACGGGAGGCAGCAGUAGGGAAGCUUCGGCAAGGGACGGAAGUCUGACCGAGCAACGCCGCGUGAGGGAAGAAGGGUUUCGGAUCGUAAAGCUCUGUUGUAAGAGAAGAACGAGUGUGAGAGUGGAAAGCUCACACUGUGACGGUAUCUGACCAGAAAGGGACGGCUAACUACGUG